UAGGGAAUAUUGGACAAUGGGGGAAACCCUGAUCCAGCUACGCCGCGUGAGUGAUGAAGGCCUUCGGGUUGUAAAGCUCUGUCGUAAGGGAAGAUAAUGACGGUACCUUACAAGAAAGCACCGGCUAACUCCGUGCCAGCAGCCGCGGUAAUACGGAGGGUGCAAGCGUUGCUCGGAAUCACUGGGCGUAAAGAGAGCGUAGGCGGACAAUUAAGUCAGGUGUGAAAGCCCGGAGCUCAACUCCGGAAUUGCAUCUGAAACUGGUUGUCUAGAGUACAGGAGAGGAGAGUGGAAUUCCUGGUGUAGAGGUGAAAUUCGCUGAUAUCAGGAGGAACACCCGUGGCGAAGGCGGCUCUCUGGUCUGAUACUGACGCUGAGGCUCGAAAGUGUGGGUAGCAAACAGG
rnacentral:rRNA from 1 species